UGCAACAUAUGCCAAACACAACAAAAACAGCAAAAGACGAAGAAUAAUUGUUGGCGUGUGCAGCCCUUACUAAUAUAUCGCAUGGGUGGAUGAACGUGAUUUAAAAGGCAUCAACGAAACAUUCGGUUCAAUGAUCAUGUUUAGCAAAACCUUGCCUAUUUAAACACCAUGAGCAGAGGACCAUUUCCUGUAUUGGUGGAGGAGAAAACUGAUGCUCCCUCCUAUUGGGAUACAGAUGCAGAGAACUCGAUAUUCAAAAGCUGGAGCUACAGCUGCGGCAAAUUAAAAUGGAAAUUAUGAUGGCAGUGGCCUACUUGAGUUUCACAAAACUUCCACUGAGAUUGAGACCAGCAUGCAAGACCAAAGUCAAAGAACACAACAAGAUUCACAAUAUGGAAUCGAAAGGAGCUGACAGGGUAGACUGAUAUAUUAAAACACAGAUGAUAACACAGAAAGAAGUUUCAACAGCGGUAGUCUUCGAUAUGUUAAAGAUACUGCUGUGGGUGUACAUGGACUUCUGAAGCAUCAGUCUGAUUUACCAGCAGAGCUGUGAAUGCAACAUCUCUAGCCAGAAAUAAUUUUCCUGAGCAGCAUGAUACCAACACACAAUAGCGGGGACAAGCGCAUUUUCAAAAAAGCAAUCUUUAGUUAGAAUAACCUUAGGUUUUGAAAGGUUUAGAAUAAUUGUGGUUGGAUGGCCAUAGGUGGCAGUGACAGUCAGGGAUGGUCAGCAUACACUUAAGUAAAAGAUAAAGGUAAAUCAAUGCAGUAAUUGUAUACAGUUUAUAUAUAAAUUACAACUUAAAGGUCCUUUAUAUUUUUUGUUCAAGCUAUGUUGGAUUGCUUUAACCUUUGCCAACAUUAUGCAGGGCUAGAUUCACUAUAUAACGAUAAAUCAAUGGAAUCUACUCUCCACUAACAACAGGCCAGAUUGUUUAACAGAAGUGCUCCUAAGGUGGCCUUAUAAAACUCUUUCAGGCCAUGUGUUUUGUUUUUAACUUGGCCUUUCAUGGAAGUACUUAGGGGACAAGUGGUUUAAACUUAAAAGGUUGACUUUUAGUUGCAUAAUGUAGAAAGGAACUUGUAUGAUUAGAUAGGACAUAGCAUGGUAUAUGGAAAACUAGAUGGCAUGACCAAAAUGUUCUGUUUUUAGUCUUUCAUGCGUACUGAAAACUAACUAUGGAUACUUGAGGCUGAUAGAACCAAGCAUGGACACUGGUAAAUCCAACCCUGGAUGUUGAUAGAAACAACCAUGGAUGCUGAUAGAACCUACUGUAUAAGCCGAUAUAACCAACAUUGGACAAUAUCAUAACUUACCAUGGGCAGUGAAAGAAUUGAAGAAUUGACCAAAGGCAGUAAAUAAUGCAGGAACGAGUUCAAGCAUAUUCUUCAGGAUCCCCUACAUCUCUACAUAGAGGGACACGCAAACAGCCACAUCAUAUUCCUGAGGACCUUUACAUCUCUACAAAGAGGGACACACAAACAGACACAUCAUAUUCCUGAGGACCUUUACAUAUCUACUAGGAGGGACACAUAAACAGACACAUCAUAUUCCUGAGGACCUUUACAUCUCAACAUAAAUGGUCACACAAACAGCCACAUCAUAUUCCUGAGGACCUUUACAUCUCAACAAUGAGGGACACACAAACACCCACAUCAUAUUCCUGAGGACCUUUACAUCUCAAUAUAGAGGGACACACAAACAGACGCAUCAUAUUCCCGAGGACCUUUACAUCUCUACACGGAGGAACACACAAAAAGCCACAUCAUAUUCCUGAGGACCUUUACAUCUCAACAAUGAGGGACACACAAACAGCCACAUCAUAUUCCUGAGGACCUUUACUUCUCAACAAUGAGGGACACACAAACAGCCACAUCAUAUUCCUGAGGACCUUUACAUCUCAAUAUAGAGGGACACACAAACAGCCACAUCAUAUUCCUGAGGACCUUUACAUCUCAAUAUAGAGGGACACACAAACAGCCACAUCAUAUUCCUGAGGACCUUCACAUCUCAAUAUAGAGGGACACACAAACAGCCGCAUCAUAUUCCCGAGGACCUUUACAUCUCUACACGGAGGAACACACAAACAGCCACAUCAUAUUCCUGAGGACCUUUACUUCUCAACCUAAAGGGUCACACAAACAGCCAAAUCGUAUUCCUGAGGACCUUUACAUCUCUACAAGGAGGGACACACAAACAGCCACAUCAUAUUCCUGAGGACCUUUACAUCUCAAAAUAGAGGGACACAGAAACAAUCACGUCAUAUUCCUGAGGACCUUUACAACUCAAAAUAGAGGGACACACAAACAGACACAUCAUAUUCCUGAGGACCUUUACAUCUCAAAAUAGAGGGACACACAAACAGCCACAUCAUAUUCCUGAGGAUCUUUACAUCUCUACAAGGAGGGACACACAAACAGCCACAUCGUAUUCAUGAGGACCUUUACAUUUCUACAAGGAGGGACACACAAACAGCCGCAUCAUAUUCCUGAGGAUCUUUACAUCUCAAAAUAGAGGGACACACAAACAGCCACAUCAUAUUCCUGAAAACCUUUACAUCUCAACAUAGAGGAACAGAUAAACAGCCACAUCAUAUUCCUGAGGACCUUUACAAGUCAAAAUAGAGGGACACACAAACAGCCACUUCGUAUUCCUGAAGAUCUUUACCUCUCAACGUAGAGGGACACACAAACAGCCACAUCAAAUUCCUGAGGACCUUUACAUCUCAACAUAGAGGGACACACAAACAGCCACAUCAUGUUCCUGGAGACCUUUACAUCUCAAUAUUUAGUGACACACAAACAGCCAUAUCAUAUUCCUGAUGACCUUUCAGCAAAUUGAGUUAUUGUCCUGUGUUACGUUUCUUGAUCAGAAUCAUUUUUGAAAACUACAGGAUGUAUUUCAACUACUGUCUACACACCACAGUUAAGCACAAUGAGAAUAAGUAGAGUGUGCAAGAAACUGUUAAAGCUACUAACAGAUCGUUUGCCCUUUGUAACUUUUUCAUAACCAACUGGCUCCGAUUUCUCGAAACUACUUAAGUUUUACAGGCUUAAGUAGCUUAUUUCAAAAUGCCAAAAUAUAUACUUAACUAGAUUUUGAUAAAUCAUAAAAACCUCUUCUUAUAAUCAUGAUGAUAAUUCCUUUCUCAAGUAUAAAAUAUCUUAAAGAAGUAAACAUUACGCAAUUUAUUGAAAUCCAAACAUAGUGAGCUUAGCUUAAUCCUGUUUAAAGGGACUUCAGAAGAUUCGAGAAUUCGGGGCCAGAGCAUUUCUUUAACAUUUCUAGAUCAAAUUCAGUGGAGCUUCAUUCAAUGAUAGAAUUGAAUGAGAGUAAGUAUAUUAUAUAAGAACUAUUAGUCAAGUUAAGCUUUUCGCAGUUAUUGCCAUGUAUGACAUUUUUCCUUGUCCAUAACUUAAAAAUACUUGUUAGAACUUAAUUAAACUACAUACAAUUGUAAAGCACAGUGAUGGUUAGAACUUAAUUAAACUACAUACAAUUGUAAAGCACAGUGAUGGUUAGAACUUAAUUAAACUACAUACAAUUGUAAAGCACAGUGAUAGGAAGUAAAGUAUACAUAACACUAUUAUACCUUAUAAAGAUGGCAUUAUUCCCCUGUCCGGAACAUAACUACUUGAUGAAACUUUAUGAAACAUUUUUUAAAGCACAAUGAGCGGAAAUGCACUGUAUGAAAAGCAUAACUCUAUUUCAGCUCAGUGCAGAGCUACUCCCCUUUGUCACUUUUUUUGUUCGGAAAACUUAAAUACUACUCGAUGGAAUUUAAAUAACAACUCUUUUUUAGGGAAUAUUAGAAUAAUAAUGAAUGCUUCACUUGUUUCCCUAGCGCCGGUUGGUGUCUCAGUUUGUUGAAGGAUUUGCAUAAUAGCAACAAUACAUUCAAGAUCUAAGCAAGUAUAUCUUGUAUUGAUUGAAAAAAAAUAUAUGUGUUCCCAACAUAACAAAAUAAUUAUUAAUGAUUCUGUUUGAUUAUACGUAUAGGAAAACAAAGCAAAUUAUGGACAUUUUUCUUUUGACAUGGACAUUCUGAUUAAGGUUUUGCAUGUAAGCACACACAUCAGCCAUUAGUUGAUGCAUUGAUUGUAUUUCGACUUUAUACAAUGAUACUCAACCGUUCAUCCCAAUCAAAUAACCAAGUUUAUUUGUGACAUUUGUACUCAACUAUCCAACCUCUGAUUAGGCCAAUUUUAUAGUUCUUUUGGGUUGAUUAUGGCUUGUACGUCAAAACAAAUUGUUUAAGUUGUGCAUGUAAGAAAACAUAGCAUACUUGAUAAAUUGCAUUGAAACUUAAUACAAAGGUACCAUACUGUCUUUUAAGUAGUGUUUGUUCCUUUUUUAUUCAAUUUCUUCCGUCUGGUUUAGGUUUUGCAUGUUAUCACAUUUAAUUCAAUAGCUCAGCAAUUACAUCAUGUACUACACUUUAUAAAAAAAGACGCCCUAACAGUCAUAAUUUUGCUUACGGUUUUGCUUGUUAGCAUAUGAAAUUCAAUCUAACAUCUAAUCCAUGUAUUGUUUUGAAACCUUAUACAGUUUGCUCACUCUGGAUUGCAUAUAAUGCAAAUCUGGCAAAGUUCCUUGAGCUUAAGCUUUUGCGAUAGAGGGAUUGUUCGUCGUCAACAUUUUAUCGUAACAACAACUUUACCACUACGACAAGAUCAAUUAAACUCCGCAGGAAUGUUCCUUGGGUGGUUCUUAUCCAGAUUUCGAUAAAAGUGGUCCAAUUAAGGAACGGAUUGCGGAGUUGAUGUGUAUGUGGAGUCCGAAUGACUCCACGUGUAAUUUGACCAGCCCAAUUGCGUUCA